rnacentral:rRNA from 1 species
GACGAACGCUGGCGGCGUGCCUAAUACAUGCAAGUCGAACGCAGGGGGUACGGGUGAGUAACACGUGGGUAACCUCCCAUCAGAGGGGAUACCACUUGGAAACAGGUGCUAAACCGAUAGUGAUGGAUGGACCCGUGGUGCAUUAGGCAGUUGGUGAGGUAACGGAGCACCAAGGCCACGAGGCAUAGCCGACCUGAGAGGGUGAUCGUCCACACUGGGACUGAGACACGGCCCAGAUGCCUACGGGAGGCAGCAGUAGGGAAUCUUGGGCAAUGGACGAAAGUCUGACCGAGCAACGCCGAGUGAGUGAAGAAGGUUUUAGGAUCGUAAAGCUCUGUUGUUAGAGAGGCGGUAUCGAACCAGAAAGCCACGGCUAACUACGUGCCAGCCGCCGCGGUAAUAC